rnacentral:rRNA from 1 species
UACGUAGGGUGCGAGCGUUGUCCGGAAUUAUUGGGCGUAAAAGGCUCGUAGGCGGUUUGUCGCGUCGGGAGUGAAAACCUUGGGCUUAACUCAGGGCUUGCUUUCGAUACGGGCAGACUAGAGGUAUGCAGGGGAGACUGGAAUUCCUGGUGUAGCGGUGAAAUGCGCAGAUAUCAGGAGGAACACCGGUGGCGAAGGCGGUUCUCUGGGCCUGUACUGACGCUGAGGAACGAAAGCGUGGGGAGCGAACAGG